GCCUUAAUAGCUCAGUUGGUAGAGCACUUCAUUCGUAAUGAAGGGGUCGGGGGUUCGAGUCCCCCUCAAGGCU
rnacentral:tRNA from 1 species